ACUUGGAUAAGAAUGUCCUGAGCUUCAAAUCUCUUCCCUGAUAAAAAGAGGGCUGCUGCUCUCAAGGAACUUCAGUCAAGGGGAGUGGGGGAAGACAGCUCCAUACCCAGACAAAAAACUAGGGGGUGAAAGGCCAAUGAGUGGUGGGAAGGAAAGGGAAUGAAGCUUCCAGAAGCCCUGGUCGUUGGCUCUCACCAGACAAUGUAAACUGGCACUACAAGUGGAAUAGACCAGACAUUUAUUUUCCGAUUGGAAGUAUGUGGAGGAACUCGUACCCUCUUUCACAGUGAAAAAACCCUGAAGCUCAGAGCAGCAUAGUAACUUCGCCAGAGUUGCAGAACUAGAAAGUGAAAGAAUAAGAAACCAGGUCUUCUGGUCCUUAGUCUGGAGACUUUUGGCAGUCACACAUACUUUUUUAUUAUCUUACUAAUAACCCUGAUAAUCUUGUUGGAUAACAGAACAAUUUGUUCAUCCGUGUCGUGUUCUCUCAUUGCAUUAAGGAAGUGAUGAGGGAGCUGAUUUCUCAAUUGUUUUUGAGAGCUAUAAUGCCUUGAAAAUCACUCCCUUAUCCUUGCUACCAGUAAUUUGCCAUCUCCUAAUAUGUGGUAAAAAUAGUAAAGGUAAAAACCAGCUGCCAAGCUACUGCCACAAAAAUCAAGUAGGAACUGGGUUGGAUUCACUAACAUCGGUCCAGAGAGAGCACCGCUCCUCAAGAUGGGUGCAGCAUC